rnacentral:rRNA from 1 species
CAGCCGCCACGGGAAUACAGAGGGUGCGAGCGUUAAUCGGAUUUACUGGGCGUAAAGCGUGCGUAGGCGGCUUCUUAAGUCGGAUGUGAAAUCCCUGAGCUUAACUUAGGAAUUGCAUUCGAUACUGGGAAGCUAGAGUAUGGGAGAGGAUGGUAGAGUUCCAGGUGUAGCGGUGAAAUGCGUAGAGAUCUGGAGGAAUACCGAUGGCGAAGGCAGCCAUCUGGCCUAAUACUGACGCUGAGGUACGAAAGCAUGGGGAGCAAACAGGAUUAGAUACCCCCGUAGUCCCUGUCUCUUAUAA